rnacentral:tRNA from 1 species
UUUAAACCCUAAAUAUGAUUUGAAAUUAUUCUUAUAUCA